rnacentral:rRNA from 1 species
CGCACGGGUGAGUAACACGUGAAUAAUCUACCUCCGAGUGGGGAAUAACUGAGAGAAAUCUUAGCUAAUACCGCAUAACACUUACGAGUCAAAGCAGAAAUGCGCUUGGAGAGGAGUUCGCGGCCGAUUAGCUAGUUGGCGGGGUAAUGGCCCACCAAGGCGAUGAUCGGUAUCCGGCCUGAGAGGGCGCACGGACACACUGGAACUGAAACACGGUCCAG